rnacentral:pre_miRNA from 1 species
AUGCAGCCAAGGAUGACUUGCCGGAACAUUGUUAAUCAUGCAUAUAUGGUGAUAAACAUAUUUCUGGCAAGUUGUCCUUCGGCUACAU